GAUGAAGAACGCAGCGAAAUGCGAUAAGUAGUGUGAAUUGCAGAAUUCAGUGAAUCAUCGAAUCUUUGAACGCACAUUGCGCCCGCUAGUAUUCUGGCGGGCAUGCCUGUUCGAGCGUCAUUUCAACCAUCAAGCCCCCGGCUUGCGUUGGAGCCCUGCGGCUGCCGCAGGCUCCCAAAUCCAGUGGCGGGCUCGUCGUCGUACCGAGUGCAGUAAACAUCCUCGCUCAGGGAACGUGACGGGUUCUUGCCGUGAAACCCCCCACAUAUCAAGGUUGACCUCGGAUCAGGUAGGAAUACCCGCUGAACUUAAGCAUAUCAAUAAGCGGAGGA
rnacentral:misc_RNA from 1 species